UGACACCAAAGGAAGUCAUUAUUGAUCGGCGAAAACCAAUUGCAUUUGUAAACUGAGAGAUCUGCUUUCCUUUCUGCUCUCCAGCCCCAUGUAAUGAAAUCACCGCCGAUGCAGCAGUCUGCAUUGUGCCGUGCUGCCUCAUGCCACUGCUGGGAGACAGCUGCUCAAGGACCUCGCAGACGGGGCUGUGGCAGCUGUGCCGAGUGCUGGGGCAAUCCCAGACAUCUGCCUUCUGAGCAGGGAAUUGAAGAUGCUCCACUUUGCAUAACCUUUGCCUUAAGGUACAUGUUUCCAGUGGCUAAUUAUUUUCACCUCAAGAUUUGCACAUGGUGUCUUGCCUGAGGCUGUGGCAAUGUUUUCAGAGGAAAUUUCUGAUGCUGAGGCCAAGAACGAGGUACCGACAGAAAGGUGACUGAUCGGUGUGCUCCAGGGAUGUCACUGCUCCUUGGCCCUUCUACUCCACUCGUUGUUUUUGGUGAGCUAGGGAGAAUUUCUCUCGUGUCCCAACACCCACAGGACUACGUUGGCUUCUUCAGGGAUUUGGAUGAAGCUUUGGCUCUUUGCCACCACCUGCCAGGCAGUGUGGAGAAGUUCUCAAGUCUAAAUAGACUAAGAUGAGCGUGUUCGUCCUCAACCUUACAUUAGAUAAUUUUUUUUAAUUGAACAUCUUUAGGAUCUGCUUAGUGUACUAGUUUUAUAGGAUAUAAGGAUAAUUGCAAUUGUCCAGCAGCCCUUUAAAAGUGCUGAAGCAGG